rnacentral:rRNA from 1 species
AUUGAACGCUGGCGGCAGGCCUAACACAUGCAAGUCGAGCGGUAGCACAGAGAGCUUGCUCUCGGGUGACGAGCGGCGGACGGGUGAGUAAUGUCUGGGAAACUGCCUGAUGGAGGGGGAUAACUACUGGAAACGGUAGCUAAUACCGCAUAACGUCGCAAGACCAAAGUGGGGGACCUUCGGGCCUCAUGCCAUCAGAUGUGCCCAGAUGGGAUUAGCUAGUAGGUGGGGUAACGGCUCACCUAGGCGACGAUCCCUAGCUGGUCUGAGAGGAUGACCAGCCACACUGGAACUGAGACACGGUCCAGACUCCUACGGGAGGCAGCAGUGGGGAAUAUUGCACAAUGGGCGCAAGCCUGAUGCAGCCAUGCCGCGUGUGUGAAGAACGCCUUCGGGUUGUAAAGCACUUUCAGCGGGGAGGAAGGCGGUGAGGUUAAUAACCUCAUCGAUUGACGUUACCCGCAGAAGAAGCACCGGCUAACUCCGUGCCAGCAGCCGCGGUAAUACGGAGGGUGCAAGCGUUAAUCGGAAUUACUGGGCGUAAGCGCACGCAGGCGGUCUGUCAAGUCGGAUGUGAAAUCCCCGGGCUCAACCUGGGAACUGCAUUCGAAACUGGCAGGCUAGAGUCUUGUAGAGGGGGGUAGAAUUCCAGGUGUAGCGGUGAAAUGCGUAGAGAUCUGGAGGAAUACCGGUGGCGAAGGCGGCCCCCUGGACAAAGACUGACGCUCAGGUGCGAAAGCGUGGGGAGCAAACAGGAUUAGAUACCCUGGUAGUCCACGCCGUAAACGAUGUCGAUUUGGAGGUUGUGCCCUUGAGGCGUGGCUUCCGGAGCUAACGCGUUAAAUCGACCGCCUGGGGAGUACGGCCGCAAGGUUAAAACUCAAAUGAAUUGACGGGGGCCCGCACAAGCGGUGGAGCAUGUGGUUUAAUUCGAUGCAACGCGAAGAACCUUACCUGGUCUUGACAUCCACAGAACUUUCCAGAGAUGGAUUGGUGCCUUCGGGAACUGUGAGACAGGUGCUGCAUGGCUGUCGUCAGCUCGUGUUGUGAAAUGUUGGGUUAAGUCCCGCAACGAGCGCAACCCUUAUCCUUUGUUGCCAGCGGUUAGGCCGGGAACUCAAAGGAGACUGCCAGUGAUAAACUGGAGGAAGGUGGGGAUGACGUCGAGUCAUCAUGGCCCUUACGACCAGGGCUACACACGUGCUACAAUGGCAUAUACAAAGAGAAGCGACCUCGCGAGAGCAAGCGGACCUCAUAAAGUAUGUCGUAGUCCGGAUUGGAGUCUGCAACUCGACUCCAUGAAGUCGGAAUCGCUAGUAAUCGUAGAUCAGAAUGCUACGGUGAAUACGUUCCCGGGCCU